rnacentral:rRNA from 1 species
UACGAAGGGGGGCUAGCGUUGCUCGGAAUCACUGGGCGUAAAGCGCACGUAGGCGGAUCUUUAAGUCAGGGGUGAAAUCCUGGAGCUCAACUCCAGAACUGCCUUUGAUACUGGGGAUCUCGAGUCCGGGAGAGGUGAGUGGAACUGCGAGUGUAGAGGUGAAAUUCGUAGAUAUUCGCAAGAACACCAGUGGCGAAGGCGGCUCACUGGCCCGGUACUGACGCUGAGGUGCGAAAGCGUGGGGAGCAAACAGGG